rfam:Oryza nivara chromosome 9, whole genome shotgun sequence.
AAUAAGUGCAGUUUUAGCACUUAUUAUGUUCAACGUUUGACCGUUCGUCUUAUUUGAAAAAAAGAUUAUGAUUAGUAUUUUUAUUAUUAUUAGAUGAUAAAACAUGAAUAGUACUUUAUGUGUGACUAAUUUUUUAAAUAUUUUUCAUAAAUUUUUCAGAUAAGACGGAUGGUCAAAGCGCUAAACACGGAUAUUUAUGGCUGCACUUAUU